AGAGAGGAUUUUACAGGACGAAUGACGACACAAGUCGGUCUCAUUGACUUAUCCUGGGAACACCAACCCAUACUGGAAUAUUUUCUCAAGCUAACCUGAACACACUCACCUUCUGUGGAAGAGCCAGGACGAGGUUGGCUAAAGAGAGCUGCUGUUGGACUGUGGUCUCAGGUUCCUGGGGAUUGACACUGACUUUGGAUGACACAUCAUGUACACCUCACUCACCUAGUGGUCUCUGACCCCAACUCUUUCAUCCUAUUAUUAAUCCUAAUCACUUGGCCAGAAGACAGUGGAGCUCGACUAAGGUGUGGGCUGUAUUUAUGUCAUGUAUGUCAAAUGUUUUUAUGAAAUGUUAAUAUUUAUCAUCUAUCAUGUUUUGCACCCAUGCAUCGAUCAAACUGUAUUUAUAUAGCGUGUACGAAGUGCUUGACAACACCAUGAAUACAAUGAGUUGUUUAUCCCAGAUCAAUAUUUGAGGGAUGUGUAGUUUAGAGGGACAGUAUGUAAUCAAACAUGGAGGACAGUAAUAGUGUGUACAAACAUGGAGAAUUGGUACAGUUAUCUUGUGAACAGUAAUAGUGUGUAUAAACAUGGAUAAUAUUUACGGUUAUAGUGUGUUUAAACAUGGAGAAUAGGAAAAGUUAUAGUGUAUAUAAACAUGGAGAAUGGGUACAGUAACAGUUUGUAUAAACAUGGAGAAUAGUUACAGUUAUAGUGUAUAUAAACAUAGAGUGUGGAGGUACAGUAACAGUGUGAAUUAACAAGGGCUGUCG
ensembl:lncRNA